rnacentral:lncRNA from 1 species
UUCAUCUCCGCUAAUGCUUUUUCCCUCAAGAUGGACAUGAUUGAGAAACCCCAGCUAUACGGUGCGUAUUACAUAUAUAUUUUAACCUGAUAUCCAAGUAUCUAACUCAUUAGUCGAUUAAUUUAAUCGAGAAUAGUUCCGAAAUUAAGAUUUUAUUCCUCUUUUAAUAUUGUUGCGGGGAUCCAACCUUGAAUUCUUCUUCCAAAAGUGAAGCCAUGGCUCCACUAAACUAACAAUUCAUGGGUUUUAUAUAUAUUUUGUUGUGAAUAUCUCUAGAUUUCAAGAGUAUCAAUAAUGGUGCGGUCUGAUAGUAUAUUUGGGGCGGAUGUGGGGUGGUUGUCGAUAGAACUUGAAAUCGGACUACAAGAAAAAUGAUUUGUAGGGACCGUAAAUUUGGUCAUUUCUUUUGUAGUAUCGGUACGAUAAUAAUAUUACCGAAUUACCGAAUACCGAAAAAAUCUAAUCAUUUUUGGAAUCAUUAUCGAAUUAAACAAAAAUGGUAAGUAUCAGUACUUAUAUAAAUUUUUUUGCUAUGAUAUCGAUAAUUACUAGAAUAUCGAAAACAGGCGGGUUUUGGUGAUGGGUUACCAAAAACCAAACUAGAACCAAAAAAUACAGAAAACACCGAAAUAAAUAAAGAUUGGAAAUUAUUUAGGAUAAUUUUAGGAUUUUCCCUUUUAGUUAUAAUGUUUUUCGAUAAUUUGAUAAUUACUAAAACCAAAUCCAACACCAAUUUUUAUAUUAAAUUAUCGAAAUUAUGUCAAAAUAAAAAUCAUUACCAUUACCAAAUUCAUUUUAAUGCUCUUUGAUUUACCAAUUACCGAACUUCCAGCCGUAGCUGACAUGGGCCAAUAUCCUCGUUAAAAUUAAUUGGAUUUUUUUAUUUAAUUUUGAUGUAUUUUUAAGUUAAAAUCAGUAAUAUUUUGAAAAUAUUUACAUUUUGGUUUCGUUCCUGAUUUAUAUGCAGGGUUUAAGACGUCGAAGAUAGCAUGUUGCGGCCAGGGGCUGUACAAUGGGAUGGGGACAUGCACGGAGAUGUCGAACCUGUGCGCCAAUAGGAACGAUUACGUGUUUUGGGACCCAUACCAUCCGACAGAGAAGGCUUUGCGGCUGAUGGUUCAGAAGCUAAUGAACUCCACCUCCCCAGACGACAUCAGGCCCAUGAACCUACUCACCAUGAUCGCUGUUGAUGCUGCUGACGCCACCGCCCCACAGCCACAGACUUAACCGUUGUGAUUUCGUAUAUUUGUAAUCUCUCUCGGGAUAAUAAUUAAUGGAUAUAAGUCAUUGUAGUUUAUGAUUUAUAUAAUUCCCAGGGGCUCUUGUUUAUAUAUAAGCAGAAGGAUACAACCUGAACCAAUAGAUAGAUAACG